rnacentral:rRNA from 1 species
GAUUAACGCUGGCGGCGUGCCUAACACAUGCAAGUCGAGCGGCAGCGCGUUUUACACUGAAUUCUGGAAGCUUCUAGUCGAAAGAGAAGAUUUAUUCAAGAAUUUUGUGUAAAAUGUCGGCGAGCGGCGGACGGCUGAGUAACGCGUGGGAACGUACCCCAAAGUGAGGGAUAUCGCAUCGAAAGGUGUGCUAAUACCGCAUAUGGUCUUCGGAUUAAAGCCUUCGGGCGCUUUGGGAACGGCCUGCGUAAGAUUAGAUAGUUGGUGGGGGAAUGGUCUACCAAGUCGGCGAACUUUAACUGGUAUGAGAGGAUGGUCAGUCAGACUGGAACUGAGACACGGAGCAGACUCCUACGGGAGGCAGCAGUGAGGAAUCUUCCACAAUGGGCGAGAGCCUGAUGGAGCAACGCCGCGUGCAGUAUGCAGGCCUUCGGGUUGUAAACUGCUUUUAUAAGUGAGGAUUAUGACAGUAACUUAUGAAUAAGCAUCGGCUAACUACGUG